UAAUAAGUGUUUUAUGGCACUUUUUAAAUCCAUAUCCACCUUGUGUGCAAUGUCAGUCGAUCUUCUUCAUGGAGAUCGACCAAACAUCAACCUUUAUCUUUUAACUCUUUGUCUUAAAAAUAUUAUGAAUAAACAAUUCAAAAUA
rnacentral:misc_RNA from 1 species